rnacentral:rRNA from 1 species
GAUGAACGCUGGCGGUAUGCCUAACACAUGCAAGUCGUACGAGAGUUUUUAACUCUAGUGGCGGACGGGUGAGUAACACGUGAGAAUUUGCCUUUAGGAGGGGGAUAACAAUUGGAAACGAAUGCUAAUACCCCAUAUGCUUUUGAGUGAAAUGGAUUUUAUCCGCCUAGAGAGAAGCUCGCGGCUGAUUAGCUUGUUGGUAAGGUAAGAGCUUACCAAGGCGACGAUCAGUAUCUGGUUUGAGAGGACGAUCAGACACACUGGAACUGAGACACGGUCCAGACUCCUACGGGAGGCAGCAGUGGGGAAUUUUCCGCAAUGGGCGAAAGCCUGACGGAGCAAUACCGCGUGAGGGAAGAAUGCCUAUGGGUUGUAAACCUC